CCGAGGAUGGGUCUGCGGCGGAUUAGGUAGUUGGUGGGGUAACGGCCCACCAAGCCUAGAAUCCGUACGGGCUGUGGGAGCAGGAGCCCGGAGAUGGACCCUGAGACAAGGGUCCAGGCCCUACGGGGCGCAGCAGGCGCGAAACCUCCGCAAUGCGGGAAACCGCGACGGGGUUAGCCGGAGUGCCCGUGCAUUGCACGGGCUGUCGGGGUGCCUAAACAGCACCCCAUAGCAAGGGCCGGGCAAGGCCGGUGGCAGCCGCCGCGGUAAGACCGGCGGCCCGAGUGGCGGCCACUCUUAUUGGGCCUAAAGCGUCCGUAGCCGGCCCAGUAAGUCCCCCGGGAAAUCUGGUCGCUUAACGAUCAGACUUCCGGGGGAUACUGCUGGGCUAGGGACCGGGAGAGGCCGAGGGUAUUCCCGGGGUAGGGGUGAAAUCCUGUAAUCCCGGGAGGACCACCUGUGGCGAAGGCGCUCGGCUGGAACGGGUCCGACGGUGAGGGACGAAGGCCUGGGGAGCGAACCGGAUUAGAUACCCGGGUAGUCCAGGCUGUAAACGAUGCGGGCUAGGUGUCACCGGAGCUACGAGCUCCGGUGGUGCCGGAGGGAAGCCGUUAAGCCCGCCGCCUGGGAAGUACGGCCGCAAGGCUGAAACUUAAAGGAAUUGACGG
rnacentral:rRNA from 1 species